AGAGUUUGAUCCUGGCUCAGAUUGAACGCUGGCGGCAUGCUUUACACAUGCAAGUCGAACGGUAACAGGUCUUCGGAUGCUGACGAGUGGCGAACGGGUGAGUAAUGCAUCGGAACGUGCCCAGUCGUGGGGGAUAACGCAGCGAAAGCUGUGCUAAUACCGCAUACGAUCUAUGGAUGAAAGCGGGGGAUCGCAAGACCUCGCGCGAUUGGAGCGGCCGAUGUCAGAUUAGCUAGUUGGUGGGGUAAAGGCCCACCAAGGCGACGAUCUGUAGCUGGUCUGAGAGGACGACCAGCCACACUGGGACUGAGACACGGCCCAGACUCCUACGGGAGGCAGCAGUGGGGAAUUUUGGACAAUGGGCGAAAGCCUGAUCCAGCCAUGCCGCGUGAGUGAAGAAGGCCUUCGGGUUGUAAACUGCUUUUGUACGGAACGAAAAGGUCUGGGUUAAUACCCUGGGCUCAUGACGGUACCGUAAGAAUAA
rnacentral:rRNA from 1 species